AAUGACUAAAUGGGAGACAGUCACACCAGCGGUGGCAGAAACCCAGACAUCAAGCUCUUUGGGAAAUGGAGCACUGAUGAUAUGCAGAUAAAUGAUAUUUCUCUACAGGAUUGCUUUGCUGUGAAGGAGAAGUAUGCCUGCCCCGGAGUGAGGGACGGUAUGCUGCCAAGUGCUUCCAGAAAGCACACUGUCCUAUCAUGGAGCGCCUUACUAACUCCAUGAUGAUGCACGGUUGUAUCAAUGGUAAGAACCUCAGGACUGUGAAUCAUCAAAGGUGCCUUUGAGAUUGUCCACCUGCUCACUGAUGAGAACCUUCUGUAGGUCCAAGUGAAUGCCAUCAACAGUGGCCUCAGGAAGACUCAACACACAUCGGGCGGGCUGGGACAGCGAGACAGCAGGCUGUGGAUGUGUCCCCACUGAGCCAAGUGAAUCAGGCCAUCUGGCUGCUGUGCACAGGUGCUCCUCGGGUUUCAGGGACACCAAGACCACCACCAAGUGCCUUGCAGAUGAGCUCAUCAACGCUGUCAAGGGCUCCUCCAAUUCCUAUGCCAUCAAGAAGAAAGAUAAACUGAAGCAUGUGGCCAAACCUAGC
rnacentral:lncRNA from 1 species